GUUUGAUCCUGGCUCAGGAUGAACGCUAGCGGCAGGCCUAACACAUGCAAGUCGAGGGGUAGAGGAAGCUUGCUUCCUUGAGACCGGCGCACGGGUGCGUAACGCGUAUGCAAUCUGCCUUGUACAGAGGGAUAGCCCAGAGAAAUUUGGAUUAAUACCUCAUAGUAUUAUUGAAUGGCAUCAUUUAAUAAUUAAAGUUCCAACGGUACAAGAUGAGCAUGCGUCCUAUUAGCUAGUUGGUGUGGUAACGGCAUACCAAGGCUACGAUAGGUAGGGGUCCUGAGAGGGAGAUCCCCCACACUGGUACUGAGACACGGACCAGACUCCUACGGGAGGCAGCAGUGAGGAAUAUUGGACAAUGGGCGCAAGCCUGAUCCAGCCAUGCCGCGUGCAGGAAGACGCAUCUAUGGUGUGUAAACUGCUUUUGUACGGGAAGAAACACUCCCUCGUGAGGGAGCUUGACGGUACCGUAAGAAUAAGGAUCGGCUAACUCCGUGCCAGCAGCCGCGGUAAUACGGAGGAUCCAAGCGUUAUCCGGAAUCAUUGGGUUUAAAGGGUCCGUAGGCGGUUUAAUAAGUCAGUGGUGAAAGCCCAUCGCUCAACGAUGGAACGGCCAUUGAUACUGUUAGACUUGAAUUACAAGGAAGUAACUAGAAUAUGUAGUGUAGCGGUGAAAUGCUUAGAUAUUACAUGGAAUACCAAUUGCGAAGGCAGGUUACUACUUGUGGAUUGACGCUGAUGGACGAAAGCGUGGGGAGCGAACAGGAUUAGAUACCCUGGUAGUCCACGCCGUAAACGAUGGAUACUAGCUGUUGGGAGCAAUUUCAGUGGCUAAGCGAAAGUGAUAAGUAUCCCACCUGGGGAGUACGUUCGCAAGAAUGAAACUCAAAGGAAUUGACGGGGGCC
rnacentral:rRNA from 1 species